rnacentral:rRNA from 1 species
CAUGCAAGUCGAACGGCAGCGCGGGGCAACCUGGCGGCGAGUGGCGAACGGGUGAGUAAUAUAUCGGAACGUACCCUGGAGUGGGGGAUAACGUAGCGAAAGUUACGCUAAUACCGCAUACGAUCUAAGGAUGAAAGUGGGGGAUCGCAAGACCUCAUGCUCCUGGAGCGGCCGAUAUCUGAUUAGCUAGUUGGUGGGGUAAAGGCCUACCAAGGCAUCGAUCAGUAGCUGGUCUGAGAGGACGACCAGCCACACUGGAACUGAGACACGGUCCAGACUCCUACGGGAGGCAGCAGUGGGGAAUUUUGGACAAUGGGCGCAAGCCUGAUCCAGCAAUGCCGCGUGAGUGAAGAAGGCCUUCGGGUUGUAAAGCUCUUUUGUCAGGGAAGAAACGGUGAGGGCUAAUAUCCCUUGCUAAUGACGGUACCUGAAGAAUAAGCACCGGCUAACUACGUGCCAGCAGCCGCGGUAAUACGUAGGGUGCAAGCGUUAAUCGGAAUUACUGGGCGUAAAGCGUGCGCAGGCGGUUUUGUAAGUCUGUCGUGAAAUCCCCGGGCUCAACCUGGGAAUUGCGAUGGAGACUGCAAGGCUAGAAUCUGGCAGAGGGGGGUAGAAUUCCACGUGUAGCAGUGAAAUGCGUANAGAUGUGGAGGAACACCGA